rnacentral:rRNA from 1 species
CGGUUAAAAAGCUCGUAGUUGGAUUUCUGUCGAGGGCGGCCGGUCCGCACUAUGUGCGUGUAUCUGGUUCGGUCUUGGCAUCCUCUUGGGGAACGUUUCUGUGCUUGAGUGCAUGGAGGCGGAAUUCAAGACUUUUACUUUGAGGAAAUUAGAGUGUUCACGGCAAGCUAUCGCUUUGAAUACAUUAGCAUGGAAUAAUAAUAUAGGGCGUAAGUUCUAUUUUGUUGGUUUCUAGGACAUACGCAAUGAUUAAUAGGGAUAAUUGGGGGCAUUCGUAUUAACGCGUCAGAGGUGGAAUUCUUAGAUUGCGUUACGACGAACUACUGCGAAAGCAUUUGCCAAGGAUGUUUUCAUUGAUCAAGAACGAAAGUAUGGGGAUCGAAGACGAUUAGAUACCGUCGUAGUCUAUACCAUAAACUAUGCCAACUAGGGAUUGGAGGUCGUUCUUUUUAUGACUCCUUCAGCAUCUUAUGAGAAAUCAAAGUCUUUGGGUUCCGGGGGGAGUAUGGUCGCAAGGCUGAAACUUAAAGGAAUUGACGGAAGGGCACCACCAGGAGUGGAG